AUAGAUGGAUAGUUUAAUAUGCUGUUGCAGUUAGAUUUCACUUUUUCUAAUCAUGUAGAUGGCAGAAUUUUAUGUGGUGGAAUUUCCUGAGCGGGAAGAAGUAGCAGUGGUGAGCAAACACUGGAUGAAGGGGGAGAAGAAGUGUCCGUGGCCAACAUUUGUUUCGCCAGACAAAAUAAGAAAAGCUGCAACCAAUCAGAAAGUUAUGAGAAAGCCAGGAAAAAUGCCAAGGCGAUAGAAGAGGACUCUUCAUUUUCCAGUGAUCCAGAAUGACAGCUGCAAAGGGGAGAUCGUUGUAGAAGGGUGGCCCUUAUAAAUGGAA